rnacentral:ncRNA from 1 species
GGCAGGUUCGUUCCUGAACCGGCGGACGAGGGCGCAGUACCCGCACAGCGACAAGACUGACCAGA